GAUUUACUUGACUAAAACUAGACUAAAAUAACAAUUCAGAUGACUAAAAUACGACUAAAACUAAAAUGGCUUUUUAGUCGAAAGACUAUGACUAAAUUGAAAUUUGCUGCUAAAAUUAUCACUGCACAGAGGGGCUGGGGAAGGGGCAAAAGAUACAGGUAGAGGCUUUAACUAAACCCAUUAAAUUUUAGUUGUGUUGACUAAAAUCCACUGGAAAUUUAGUCGACUAAAACUAAAACCAUUCGGAAGACUAAAAUACAAUUAAAGCUAAAAUGGCUUUUUAGUCGAAAGACAAUGACUAAAUCUAAAUUGAAAUUUGCAGCCAAAAUGAACACUACCACUAAUCUAUGGGGUUCUUAUAUAUGUUAUCACUCCUAUUCUACUCAGGGGCGUAUUAGCCGCGAGGCAAACAAGGCAUUUGCAUUGGGCGGCAUUUUUCAGGGGGCGGCAAAAAACGCCGCCCCCCAAAUGCCCAAGGCAAAUGUCUUGUUAGCCUCGCGGCUAACAGACAUUCU